AGUUGAUCCUGGCUCAGUAUUGAACGCUGGCGGCAUGCCUUACACAUGCAAGUCGAACGGCAGCACGGGAGCUUGCUCCUGGUGGCGAGUGGCGAACGGGUGAGUAAUACAUCGGAACGUACCCUGAAGGUGGGGGAUAACGUAGCGAAAGUUACGCUAAUACCGCAUAUUCUGUGAGCAGGAAAGAGGGGGGAUCGCAAGACCUCUUGCUUUAGGAGCGGCCGAUGUCGGAUUAGCUAGUUGGUGAGGUAAAGGCUCACCAAGGCGACGAUCCGUAGCAGGUCUGAGAGGAUGAUCCGCCACACUGGGACUGAGACACGGCCCAGACUCCUACGGGAGGCAGCAGUGGGGAAUUUUGGACAAUGGGCGCAAGCCUGAUCCAGCCAUGCCGCGUGAGUGAAGAAGGCCUUCGGGUUGUAAAGCUCUUUCGGUGGGGAAGAAAUUGCUUCGGUUAAUACCUGGAGUAGAUGACGGUACCCGCAUAAGAAGCACCGGCUAACUACGUG
rnacentral:rRNA from 1 species